rnacentral:lncRNA from 1 species
UUCAUAUUUUUGUUAAAAAAAAAAUUAAGCACUUAAUUUCACAGUCUUUUCAAAGUUCCAGGUCUGUAGACUAUUUGCAACUGCACUCCCUGUACCUCAGCUCUUGAUUGAAAUGUCACUCUCCCUGUACAUCACGAUCAUAAUAUUUAAGCCCAUUGUCUUCUGAUUUUCAGAAAUCCAUUAAUCGGUUCCAUAGAGUUAUUAACCCAAACACAGACUGAUGCUGCAGAGAGAUAUUGAUGUCACUGUCCCGUGAUAAAAGAUCCUGGCGCUAUGAUGGAGAGGAUUAACUGGUUUUAUCUGGGAUUAAAGACGACCCCCGUCUAUGUUUCCUAAUGGCUGUGGUGGGUUAUAUUCAAAGCUUAAGACCUUCUAAAAGCUCUCUCCAUCCGUCGCUUCAGUCGAGAGAGAAGCUCGCUCACAAGUUUGUGCACAAGUACGUUACUCGAUCGCAGCAUGACAGAAAUGUUCAUUCUCGUUUUGAAGUAUGCACUGAUAUUUGCAUUUUAAUAAGAAGAAAAUCCAGAUGAAGAUUGUAGAACUGGACAUGACGUCUGUGGCGGACAAAAUGGAGGUAUUUGAUACUUUUAUCUUUACAUUUCAGAUUUAAUUUCAAAUGUAGGUUUUCGCGCCUACUGUCUGUUAAAAGUGAAUCGUAUGUUUUUGUCUCGACAGCGAGUGUCAGUCGAGCAGGACGAGAUGUUUUCUCCGAUUAGUGAAGCUCAGCGUGGAAGAACAGAUGAAGAACAGCGCGGUUUCUCGGGUCCAACAACAGAGCAACAAACUCACAGCUACAGCUCAGAUCCAGAUGCUUUUUUCCAGUUCCUGGUCAAGAGUCAAAGUCAGCGAUUAGACGACCAGCGGGUGGCACUGAGCUCAUUGCCAGGGAUGGAAGCGUUCACCAUCAAAGAUCCGAAAGAUGGAAGUGUACUGAAGACAAACUUUGAUCAGAUUUGCAACCUGGUCAGCAAAGCUAAUGUAAGUUUUCCAAACAAUAUAUAAUGCAUGCUGCAAGGUUCGUUUUUUUUUUUUUAAAUCAGUGUAUAUCUAUAAGAAAGGUUUGAGAGUGAACUUCUUUACCUGUUAUGUAGAGUUUGAAGAAACACAACCCUCCAAAAACAAGCCUGACCCCCGGGGCCCAGGACUCUAUGAGAAGAUCAAGCUACAAUCCUCCAACUGCUGCUGAUACAGACACCUACAACACUCUCACGACCAGAUCAGCCUCAUACAACCCUAUAUCAGACAAGGACAGAAUGGACCAUGAAAGUUUUCAAGUGAGUAUGAAUGUUAUAUUUACACUAGCCUCGGAUACUUAAGCCAUAUUUUUCUCAAAAUGCCUGUUAUUCUUGUUCUGAAUCCAUCAGCGUGAGCAGGAUCAGCUGUUGUGUCUAGUUA